GGACGAACGCUGGCGGCACGCCUAACACAUGCAAGUCGAGCGGAGAUUGAGAGCUUGCUCUCAUGAUCAGCGGCGGACGGGUGAGUAACACGUGAGCAACCUGCCUUUCAGAGGGGGACAACAGUUGGAAACGACUGCUAAUACCGCAUAACAUUGCCGAACGGCAUCGUUUGGCAAUCAAAGGAGCAAUCCGCUGAAAGAUGGGCUCGCGUCUGAUUAGAUAGUUGGUGAGGUAACGGCUCACCAAGUCGACGAUCAGUAGCCGGACUGAGAGGUCGAACGGCCACAUUGGGACUGAGACACGGCCCAGACUCCUACGGGAGGCAGCAGUGGGGGAUAUUGCACAAUGGGGGAAACCCUGAUGUAGCGACGCCGCGUGGAGGAAGAAGGUCUUCGGAUUGUAAACUCCUGUUGUUGGGGAAGAUAAUGACGGUACCCAACAAGGAAGUGACGGCUAACUACGUG
rnacentral:rRNA from 1 species